rnacentral:rRNA from 1 species
GACGAACGCUGGCGGCGUGCUUAACACAUGCAAGUCGAACGAUGAAGAAAAGAAUUGAAGCUUCGGCAGAAAUUCAUUUCGGAUUAGUGGCAGACGGGUGAGUAACGCGUGAGCAACCUACCUCUUACAAAGGGAUAGCCUCGGGAAACCGGGAUUAAUACCAUAUAACAUUGCGACGAAGCAUUUCGAUGCAAUCAAAGCUACGGCGGUAAGAGAUGGGCUCGCGUCCCAUUAACCAGAUGGUGAGGUAACGGCUCACCAUAGUAACGAUGAGUAACCGGCCUGAGAGGGUGAACGGUCACACUGGAACUGAGACACGGUCCAGACUCCUACGGGAGGCAGCAGUGGGGAAUAUUGCACAAUGGAGGGAACUCUGAUGCAGCGACGCCGCGUGAGUGAUGAAGGAAUUCGUUUCGUAAAACUCUGUUCUAUGGGAAGAAAAGGACUGUACCAUAGGAGAAAGCUCCGGCUAAAUACGUG